UACAGAGGUGCCAAGCGUUAGGCGGAAUCACUGGGCGUAAAGCGCACGUAGGCGGAUCUUUUAAGUCAGGGGUGAAAUCCCAAGGCUCAACCUUGGAACUGCCUUUGAUACUGGGGAUCUCGAGUCCGGAAGAGGUUGGUGGAACUGCGAGUGUAGAGGUGAAAUUCGUAGAUAUUCGCAAGAACACCAGUGGCGAAGGCGGCCAACUGGUCCGGAACUGACGCUGAGGUGCGAAAGCGUGGGGAGCAAACAGG
rnacentral:rRNA from 1 species